rnacentral:rRNA from 1 species
CAGCCGCCGCGGUAAUACGUAGGGUGCAAGCGUUAAUCGGAAUUACUGGGCGUAAAGCGUGCGCAGGCGAUUCUAUAAGACAGAUGUGAAAUCCCCGAGCUCAACCUGGGAACUGCAUUUGUGACUGUAGAGCUGGAGUGCGGCAGAGGGGGAUGGAAUUCCGCGUGUAGCAGUGAAAUGCGUAGAUAUGCGGAGGAACACCGAUGGCGAAGGCAAUCCCCUGGGCCUGGACUGACGCUCAUGCACGAAAGCGUGGGGAGCAAACAGGAUUAGAUACCCCCGUAGUCCCUGUCUCUUAUAC